UGAUCGGGGCUAAGUCGUAGCAAGGUAGCAGUAGGUGAACCUGCAGAAGGAUCA
rnacentral:rRNA from 1 species